rnacentral:rRNA from 1 species
UACGUAGGCAGCAAGCGUUGUUCGGAAUUACUGGGCGUAAAGAGUGUGUAGGCGGUGCUCCAAGUCUGGUGUGAAAUCUCCCGGCUCAACUGGGAGGGUGCAUUAGAAACUGGAAUGCUAGAGGAUGGGAGAGGUAAGCGGAAUUACCUGGUGUAGCGGUGAAAUGCGUAGAUAUCAGGAGGAACACCUGUGGUGUAGACAGCUUACUGGACCAUUUCUGACGCUGAGGAGCGAAAGCGUGGGGAGCGAACAGG